UACAGAGGUCUCAAGCGUUGUUCGGAUUCAUUGGGCGUAAAGGGUGCGUAGGUGGCGCGGUAAGUCGGGUGUGAAAUUUCGGAGCUUAACUCCGAAACUGCAUUCGAUACUGCAGUGCUUGAGGACUGGAGAGGAGACUGGAAUUCAUGGUGUAGCAGUGAAAUGCGUAGAGAUCAUGAGGAAGACCAGUGGCGAAGGCGGGUCUCUGGACAGUUCCUGACACUGAGGCACGAAGGCCAGGGGAGCAAACGGG
rnacentral:rRNA from 1 species